UACGAAGGGGGCUAGCGUUGCUCGGAAUCACUGGGCGUAAAGGGCGCGUAGGCGGCUCAUGAAGGCUGUGGUGAAAGUCCGGGGCUCAACCUCGGAUCGGCCGUGGCGACUCGUGGGCUGGAGCACUGUAGAGGCGGGUGGAAUUCCGGGUGUAGCGGUGAAAUGCGUAGAUAUCCGGAGGAACACCGGUGGCGAAGGCGGCUUCCUGGACCGACACUGACGCUGAGGCGCGAAAGCUAGGGGAGCAAACGGG
rnacentral:rRNA from 1 species